ensembl:lncRNA
CCAGUGGCUCAGCUAUAAAGAAUCUGCCUGCAGUGCAGAGCUGCAGGAGACUCAAGUUCAGUCCCUGGGUCGGGAAGAUCCCCUGGAGGAGGGCAUGGCAAUCCACUCCAGUAUUCUUGCCUGGAGAAUCCCAUGGACAUAGGAUCCUGGUGGACUACAGUCCACAGGGCUGCAAAGGGUCGGGCAUGACUGAAGCAACUUAGCACACAAGCACACAAUGAUACAUAGUAUAGUGUUUUAAGAACAAAGACUUAGGAAUCAGGCGCUUCUGUUUAACCUUGAGUGAAUAAUUAAAGCUUUCUAAAUUUUAGUGUUAUAAUGCAUAAAAUGUAAAUUAUAAUAAAACCUACCUUAUAGUGUUCACACAAUAUUUACAAGACUUAUUUAGCAUUGUGCUUGCCAUAAACCAACAUUCCUUAAAAGCUGGCAACUGUUAAGUAUUACUGUCCUUGUGAACAAAGAUUAAAUGAAAUUUUUACUUUUUAUCUUCUAAAAUAGCAUUUUUCAAGCCAAAUGAUUGUAUAUACUAAUAACAUUUCUACACACUGGAGCCCAUAAGUGAGGGAAAAAAAGCAAAGCUUAGCUAGUUUUGCUGAAGGAUGUCUUGGAAGGGACUUAGAAAAUCAUAAAACAGGCCUGCUUCUUGAAAUCUUAGAGGAAGAUUGCCAAAUCACAUUGUGAUCAUGUUCUAUUUCCUGUAUUGAGAAUGAAAGUACGUACAGCAUUUGGAUAUGGGAACCAACAGCCAUGUCUUAGUAUUUUCCAUCUUAAACCAAUAAGAAAAAACACGAUAUAAGCUCUUGUUAAAGAGAAGUCAGAAUUUUGUCCUUCCAGCAGUUUCAAAGAUCAUGUUUCCAUCUCAAACACCUAGUUUCGACCUCAAAUGACUAAAUGGAGGCAUUAUUCUGUAGAGAUACCUACCCUCCCUGUGCUAAUCCAUUCCUCCAAGAGCAGCAUUCUGAUGCCUGAUUUGUUUUCCUUCUGCAUGGGUCUCCUGACUGGGGAAGCAGGGGCAGAGGCCCUGGGAGAGACCCGAACUGGAAGACACUUUGUGCUGUGAAGGAAAGAUGCGUGAAGACUGCUGGUGGCAAGUCUCCUUUCUUUUGCCGCUCUUGUUUUUGGGUGUCUUUGUGGAGCUUUCAGAAGGGCUGCUCCGGGUACAAUAUGAUACAUAGGUGCUUGAUGACAGCUACUGGCAUCAACGUUCUACCACUGUGAGAGACGAAUGGGAAGCUCACUUGCAUUUAGGUUCAUUUUCCUUCCUUCCUUUUAAAUAUCAUUCCAUUAAAUAUCAGGUGGUUUGUGUAUUUCAUUUUAAUCAUCAAACAUAAUUCAUAAAAUUCAUGAAAUAAAUGGUAGCUUACUGUAUGUACCUGUAUUUCUUG